GAUGAACGCUGGCGGCGUGCCUAAUACAUGCAAGUCGAGCGAACGGACGAGAAGCUUGCUUCUCUGAUGUUAGCGGCGGACGGGUGAGUAACACGUGGAUAACCUACCUAUAAGACUGGGAUAACUUCGGGAAACCGGAGCUAAUACCGGAUAAUAUUUUGAACCGCAUGGUUCAAAAGUGAAAGACGGUCUUGCUGUCACUUAUAGAUGGAUCCGCGCUGCAUUAGCUAGUUGGUAAGGUAACGGCUUACCAAGGCAACGAUGCAUAGCCGACCUGAGAGGGUGAUCGGCCACACUGGAACUGAGACACGGUCCAGACUCCUACGGGAGGCAGCAGUAGGGAAUCUUCCGCAAUGGGCGAAAGCCUGACGGAGCAACGCCGCGUGAGUGAUGAAGGUCUUCGGAUCGUAAAACUCUGUUAUUAGGGAAGAACAUAUGUGUAAGUAACUGUGCACAUCUUGACGGUACCUAAUCAGAAAGCCACGGCUAACUACGUGCCAGCAGCCGCGGUAAUACGUAGGUGGCAAGCGUUAUCCCGGAAUUAUUGGGCGUAAAGCGCGCGUAGCGGUUUUUUAGUCUGAUGUGAAAGCCCACGGCUCAACCGUGGAGGGUCAUUGGAAACUGGAAAACUUGAGUGCAGAAGAGGAAAGUGGAAUUCCAUGUGUAGCGGUGAAAUGCGCAGAGAUAUGGAGGAACACCAGUGGCGAAGGCGACUUUCUGGUCUGUAACUGACGCUGAUGUGCGAAAGCGUGGGGAUCAAACAGGAUUAGAUACCCUGGUAGUCCACGCCGUAAACGAUGAGUGCUAAGUGUUAGGGGGUUUCCGCCCCUUAGUGCUGCAGCUAACGCAUUAAGCACUCCGCCUGGGGAGUACGACCGCAAGGUUGAAACUCAAAGGAAUUGACGGGGACCCGCACAAGCGGUGGAGCAUGUGGUUUAAUUCGAAGCAACGCGAAGAACCUUACCAAAUCUUGACAUCCUUUGACAACUCUAGAGAUAGAGCCUUCCCCUUCGGGGGACAAAGUGACAGGUGGUGCAUGGUUGUCGUCAGCUCGUGUCGUGAGAUGUUGGGUUAAGUCCCGCAACGAGCGCAACCCUUAAGCUUAGUUGCCAUCAUUAAGUUGGGCACUCUAAGUUGACUGCCGGUGACAAACCGGAGGAAGGUGGGGAUGACGUCAAAUCAUCAUGCCCCUUAUGAUUUGGGCUACACACGUGCUACAAUGGACAAUACAAAGGGCAGCGAAACCGCGAGGUCAAGCAAAUCCCAUAAAGUUGUUCUCAGUUCGGAUUGUAGUCUGCAACUCGACUACAUGAAGCUGGAAUCGCUAGUAAUCGUAGAUCAGCAUGCUACGGUGAAUACGUUCCCGGGUCU
rnacentral:rRNA from 1 species